rnacentral:rRNA from 1 species
CUGAUGCCCUUCUGAUGGCAAGCUUUGUUUGCACUCAGAUGCGCAGGCCAAGGGUUGGCUCCUUAUGGUGUCAGCUGACUUGACUGGGCGGGUCCAAUACCAGUCGGACUCUCCUUGCCUUUCAGGUAAGGGGUCCUGCCGGCUGUGAGGGGUGGCUUGUUAACCAACUCUAAGCAAUCAUUUCUGAAGACAGUUCUGCUGGCUGGUUCUGCUGGCUGCAGGCUGAAUAACUAAAGACAACUCUCAACAACGGAUAUCUUGGCUCCCGUAACGAUGAAGAACGCAGCGAAAUGCGAUACGUAGUGUGAAUUGCAGAAUUCCGUGAACCAUCGAAUCUUUGAACGCAAAUUGCGCUCGAGGCCUCGGCCAAGAGCAUGUCUGCCUCAGCGUCGGCUACUACCCUCAAUCAAAUUCCCUAUUUACAUGUGGAAUGCCGAUUGGAUCUGGCUGUCCAGUUUGCCUGUAAGGUUGCCGGUCAGCUGAAAAAUAUUCACGCUUUGGGGGCUGCUUUCCUUUUAACAAAAGAAAGGCGAGUUCCGAUUUGGUAGGUGACCUUUGCCGGUUGCAUGCCUUCGUUGCCCGUUUAGCUCCCAUUAGCGAUGUGCAGGACGCCUUUUGGCUUUCGACCUGAGGUCAGGCAAGACCACCCGCUGAACUGAAAAACAUUCACGCUGUGGAAGUCGCUUUCCCUUCAAAAAGGAAAGCCCGAGUUCCGAUUUGGUAGGUGACCUUUGCCGGUUGCAUGCCUUCGUUGCUCGUUUGGCUUUUC